rnacentral:rRNA from 1 species
UGGAGAGUUUGAUCCUGGCUCAGGACGAACGCUGGCGGCGUGCUUAACACAUGCAAGUCGAGCGGUAAGGCCCUUCGGGGUACACGAGCGGCGAACGGGUGAGUAACACGUGGGUGAUCUGCCUCGCACUCUGGGAUAAGCCUGGGAAACUGGGUCUAAUACCGGAUAUGACCAUGGGAUGCAUGUCUUGUGGUGGAAAGGUUUACUGGUGCGAGAUGGGCCCGCGGCCUAUCAGCUUGUUGGUGGGGUAACGGCCUACCAAGGCGACGACGGGUAGCCGACCUGAGAGGGUGAUCGGCCACACUGGGACUGAGACACGGCCCAGACUCCUACGGGAGGCAGCAGUGGGGAAUAUUGCACAAUGGGCGGAAGCCUGAUGCAGCGACGCCGCGUGAGGGAUGACGGCCUUCGGGUUGUAAACCUCUUUCGACAGGGACGAAGCGCAAGUGACGGUACCUGUAGAAGAAGCACCGGCCAACUACGUGCCAGCAGCCGCGGUA